ACGCCUAACACAUGCAAGUCGAACGAAGUAGCAAUACUUAGUGGCAGACGGGUGAGUAACAUGUAGGUAUCUGCCCUUUGGCCUGGAAUAACACGAGGAAACUUGUGCUAAUACCGGAUAAGUCUUUACGGAGAAAGCUUUAUGCACCAUUGGAUGAGCCUGCACUUGAUUAGUUUGUUGGUAGGGUAAUGGCCUACCAAGACUGUGAUCAAUAGCUGAUUUGAGAGGAUGAUCAGCCACAUUGGGACUGAGACACGGCCCAAACUCCUACGGGAGGCAGCAGUGGGGAAUCUUGCACAAUGGAGGAAACUCUGAUGCAGCGAUGCCGCGUGAGUGAAGAAGGCCCUUGGGUUGUAAAGCUCUUUCGUCGGGGAAGAAAAUGACUGUACCCGAAUAAGAAGGUCCGGCUAACUUCGUGCCAGCAGCCGCGGUAAUACGAAGGGACCUAGCGUAGUUCGGAAUUACUGGGCUUAAAGAGUUCGUAGGUGGUUGAAAUAGUUGGUGGUGAAAUCCCAGAGCUUAACUCUGGAACUGCCAUCAAAACUUUUCAGCUAGAGUAUGAUAGAGGAAAGCAGAAUUUCUAGUGUAGAGGUGAAAUUCGUAGAUAUUAGAAAGAAUACCAAUUGCGAAGGCAGCUUUCUGGAUCAUUACUGACACUGAGGAACGAAAGCAUGGGUAGCGAAGAGGAUUAGAUACCCUCGUAGUCCAUGCCGUAAACGAUGUGUGUUAGACGUUGGAAAUUUAUUUUCAGUGUCGCAGCAAAAGCGAUAAACACACCGCCU
rnacentral:rRNA from 1 species